rnacentral:rRNA from 1 species
AGAGUUUGAUCCUGGCUCAGGACGAACGCUGGCGGCGUGCCUAACACAUGCAAGUCGAGCGAUGAAGUUCCUUCGGGAACGGAUUAGCGGCGGACGGGUGAGUAACACGUGGGUAACCUGCCUCAAAGAGGGGGAUAGCCUCCCGAAAGGGAGAUUAAUACCGCAUAACAUUAUUUUCUCGCAUGAGAAGAUAAUCAAAGGAGCAAUCCACUUUGAGAUGGACCCGCGGCGCAUUAGCUAGUUGGUGAGGUAACGGCUCACCAAGGCGACGAUGCGUAGCCGACCUGAGAGGGUGAUCGGCCACAUUGGAACUGAGACACGGUCCAGACUCCUACGGGAGGCAGCAGUGGGGAAUAUUGCGCAAUGGGGGAAACCCUGACGCAGCAACGCCGCGUGAGUGAUGAAGGUCUUCGGAUUGUAAAGCUCUGUCUUUGGGGACGAUAAUGACGGUACCCAAGGAGGAAGCCACGGCUAACUACGUGCCAGCAGCCGCGGUAAUACGUAGGUGGCAAGCGUUGUCCGGAUUUACUGGGCGUAAAGAGUAUGUAGGCGGAUAUUUAAGUCAGAUGUGAAAUUCCCGGGCUUAACCUGGGCGCUGCAUUUGAAACUGGGUAUCUAGAGUGCGGGAGAGGAAAGUGGAAUUCCUAGUGUAGCGGUGAAAUGCGUAGAGAUUAGGAAGAACACCAGUGGCGAAGGCGACUUUCUGGACCGUAACUGACGCUGAGAUACGAAAGCGUGGGGAGCAAACAGGAUUAGAUACCCUGGUAGUCCACGCCGUAAAACGAUGAAUACUAGGUGUCGGGGGGUACCACCCUCGGUGCCGCAGCAAACGCAAUAAGUAUUUC